CAGAAACUGCCUUUACGCACAUAUCCAUUUCAUCUUGAGCUCAGGAAAACACUCGUGUUCUACUUUCAUCAUCAAGCUAAAAUGAGCGAUCAAAAACAAACAAAGCCAGAAAAGGAGGAGGGAUCAGGAUCAGGAUGUGAAGGAGAGGAGGGAAAGGGCAAAGGUAAAGACAAAGGAAAGGGGAAAGGUCACGGUCAUGGUCAUGGAGAAGGACAUGGUCAUGGUCCUGGAGGAGAGAAACACGGUCAUGGUCCUGGAGGAGAAGGACACGGUCAUGGAAAAGGAGGAAAAGGCGGCAAGUGAGAGACCACUGAGGCGACCCUACAUAAAAUGAUGAAAAGUAAUUAUUUUGUCAAAAAGAUUAAUGUAUGAUUGUAUUGCAUUCCUCAAUAAAUAAUCUACAAAAUAA